CAGUCGCCACGGUAAAACAGAGGGUGCAAGCGUUAAUCGGAAUUACUGGGCGUAAAGCGCGCGUAGGUGGUUUGUUAAGUUGGAUGUGAAAGCCCCGGGCUCAACCUGGGAACUGCAUCCAAAACUGGCAAGCUAGAGUACGGUAGAGGGUGGUGGAAUUUCCUGUGUAGCGGUGAAAUGCGUAGAUAUAGGAAGGAACACCAGUGGCGAAGGCGACCACCUGGACUGAUACUGACACUGAGGUGCGAAAGCGUGGGGAGCAAACAGGAUUAGAUACCCCGGUAGUCCCUGUCUCUUAUAC
rnacentral:rRNA from 1 species